UGGGGGAUAUUGCACAAUGGGCGAAAGCCUGAUGCAGCGACGCCGCGUGGGGGAUGAAGGCCUUCGGGUUGUAAACUUCUUUUGCUCUGAACAAGGCAUGCCUUUGGGGUGUGUUGAGUGUAGGGGUUGAUUAGCGCCGGCUAACUACGUGCCAGCAGCCGCGGUAAUACGUAGGGCGCGAGCGUUGUCCGGAAUUAUUGGGCGUAAAGGGCUUGUAGGUGGCUGGUUGCGUCUGUCGUGAAAGCUCAUGGCUUAACUGUGGGUUUGCGGUGGGUACGGGCUGGCUUGAGUGCAGUAGGGGAGGCUGGAAUUCCUGGUGUAGCGGUGGAAUGCGCAGAUAUCAGGAGGAAUACCGGUGGCGAAGGCGGGUCUCUGGGCUAUUACUGACGCUGAGGAGCGAAAGCGUGGGGAGCGAACAGG
rnacentral:rRNA from 1 species